rnacentral:rRNA from 1 species
AUUGAACGCUGGCGGAAUGCUUUACACAUGCAAGUCGAACGGUAGAGGGGGCAACCCCUCGAGAGUGGCGAACGGGUGAGUAAUAUAUCGGAACGUGCCCAGUCGUGGGGGAUAACGUAGCGAAAGUUACGCUAAUACCGCAUACGAUCUACGGAUGAAAGCGGGGGAUCGCAAGACCUCGCGCGAUUGGAGCGGCCGAUAUCAGAUUAGGUAGUUGGUGGGGUAAAGGCUCACCAAGCCAACGAUCUGUAGCUGGUCUGAGAGGACGGCCAGCCACACUGGAACUGAGACACGGUCCAGACUCCUACGGGAGGCAGCGGUGGGGAAUUUUGGACAAUGGACGCAAGUCUGAUCCAGCCAUUCCGCGUGCAGGAUGAAGGCCCUCGGGUUGUAAACUGCUUUUGUACGGAACGAAAAGGUUUCCAUUAAUACUGGGAGCUCAUGACGGUACCGUAAGAAUAAGCACCGGCUAACUACGUGCCAGCCGCCGCUGUAA